rnacentral:rRNA from 1 species
CAAUAGCGUAUAUUAAAGUUGUUGCAGUUAAAAAGCUCGUAGUUGGAUUUCUGGCGGAGUGUCCUCCGGCUGACAGUUCGUUUGGUCCGGAGCGCUCCACCAUCCUUCUGUUAACCGUCACGGGAUUUACUUCCCGAGUCGGGGCUCAGAUAUUUUACCUUGAGAAAAUUAGAGUGUUUCAGGCAGGCUAGCGCCGGAAUACAUUAGCAUGGAAUAAUGGAAAAGGACUUCAACCUCUUCUGUUGGUCUGGGAGGCUGUAGUAAUGAUUAAUAGGGAUAGUUGGGGGCAUUAGUACUUAACUGUCAGAGGUGAAAUUCUCCGAUUUGUUAAAGACUAACUUAUGCGAAAGCAUUUGCCAAGGAUGUUUUCAUUAAUCAAGAACGAAAGUUAGGGGAUCAAAGACGAUCAGAUACCGU